ACUAGAGGCCCAGUGCAAGAAAU
rnacentral:miRNA from 1 species